UACGUAGGGUGCAAGCGUUAAUCGGAAUUACUGGGCGUAAAGCGUGCGCAGGCGGUUAUGCAAGACAGAUGUGAAAUCCCCGGGCUCAACCUGGGAACUGCAUUUGUGACUGCAUGACUAGAGUACGGCAGAGGGGGAUGGAAUUCCGCGUGUAGCAGUGAAAUGCGUAGAUAUGCGGAGGAACACCGAUGGCGAAGGCAAUCCCCUGGGCCUGCACUGACGCUCAUGCACGAAAGCGUGGGGAGCAAACAGG
rnacentral:rRNA from 1 species